GUUUGAUCAUGGCUCAGAUUGAACGCUGGCGGCAGGCGUAACACAUGCAAGUCGAACGGUUACAGGUAGCAGCUUGCUGCUUCGCUGACGAGUGGCGGACGGGUGAGUUAUGUCUGGGUAAGUGCCUGAUGGAGGGGGAUUACUACUGGUAACGGUGGCUAAUACCGCAUAACGUCGCAAGACCAAAGAGGGGGACCUUCGGGCGUCUUGCCAUCAGAUGUGCCCAGAUGGGAUUAGCUAGUUGGUGAGGUAACGGCUCACCAAGGCGACGAUCCCUAGCUGGUGUGAGAGGAUGACCAGCCACACUGGUACUGAGACACGGUCCAGACUCCUACGGGAGGCAGCAGUGGGGAAUAUUGCACAAUGGGCGCAAGCGUGAUGCAGCCAUGCCGCGUGUAUGAAGAAGGCCUUCGGGUUGUAAAGUACUUUCAGCGGGGAGGAAGGUGUUGUGGUUUAUAACCGCAGCAAUUGACGUUACCCGCAGAAGAAGCACCGGCUAAGUCCGUGCCAGCAGCCGCGGUAAUACGGAGGGUGCAAGCGUUAAUCGGAAUUACUGGGCGUAUAGCGCACGCAGGCGGUCUGUCAAGUCGGAUGUGAAAUCCCCGGGGUCAACCUGGGAACUGCAUUCGAAACUGGCAGGGUUGAGUCUUGUAGAGGGGGGUAGUAUUCCAGGUGUAGCGGUGAAAUGCGUAGAGAUCUGGAGGAAUACCGGUGGCGAAGGCGGCCCCGUGGACAAAGACUGACGCUCAGGUGCGUAAGCGUGGGGAGCAAACAGGAUUAGAUACCGUGGUAGUCCACGCCGUAAACGAUGUCUACUUGGAGGUUGUGCCCUUGAGGCGUGGCUUCCGGAGGUAACGCGUUAAGUAGACCGCCUGGGGAGUACGGCCGCAAGGUUUAAAGUCAAAUGAAUUGACGGGGGCCCGCACAAGCGGUGGAGCAUGUGGUUUAAUUCGAUGCUACGCGAAGAACCUUACCUGGUCUUGACAUCCACAGAAGUUUCCAGAGAUGGAUUGGUGCCUUCGGGAACUGUGAGACAGGUGCUGCAUGGCUGUCGUCAGGUCGUGUUGUGAAAUGUUGGGUUUAGUCCCGCAACGAGCGCAACCCUUAUCCUUUGUUGCCAGCGGUUAGGCCGGGAACUCAAAGGAGACUGCCAGUGAUAAAGUGGAGGAAGGUGGGGAUGACGUCAAGUCAUCAUGGCCCUUACGACCAGGGCUACACACGUGCUACAAUGGCGCAUACUAAGAGAAGCGACCUCGCGAGAGCAAGCGGACGUCAUAAAGUGCGUCGUAGUCCGGAUUGGAGUCUGCAACUCGACUCCAUGAAGUCGGAAUCGCUAGUAAUCGUGGAUCAGAAUGCCACGGUGUAUACGUUCCCGGGCGUUGUACACACCGCCCGUCACACCAUGGGAGUGGGUUGCAAAAGAAGUAGGUAGCUUAACCUUCGGGAGGGCGCUUACCAGUUUGUGAUUCAUGACUGGGGUGAAGUCGUAACAAGGUUACCGUAGGGGAACCUGCGGUUGGAUCACGUCCUUACCUUAAAGAAGC
rnacentral:rRNA from 1 species